rnacentral:rRNA from 1 species
UUUCAUUAGAGAGAGCCCGGAGACAGGUGCUGCAUGGCUGUCGUCAGCUCGUGUCGUGAGAUGUUGGGUUAAGUCCCGCAACGAGCGCAACCCUCGCCUUUAGUUGCCAGCAGUUCGGCUGGGCACUCUAAAGGGACUGCCGGUGUCAAACCGGAGGAAGGUGGGGAUGACGUCAAGUCCUCAUGGCCUUUAUGGCUAGGGCUACACACGUAAUACAAUGGUCGGUACAGAGGGUCGCCAACCCGCGAGGGGGAGCCAAUCUCAGGAAGCCGAUCGUAGUCCGGAUUGUUCUCUGCAACUCGAGAGCAUGAAGUCGGAAUCGCUAGUAAUCGCGGAUCAGCAUGUCGCGGUGAAUACGUUCCCGGGUCUUGUACACACCGCCCGUCACACCAUGGGAGCGGGUUCUGCCAGAAGUAGCUAGUCUAACCGUAAGGGGGACGGUUACCACGGCAGGGUUCGUGACUGGGGUGAAGUCGUAACAAGGUAGCCGUAUCGGAAGG